rnacentral:rRNA from 1 species
GACAGAGGGUGCAAACGUUGUUCGGAAUUACUGGGCGUAAAGCGCGUGUAGGCGGUCUCGCAAGUCGGAUGUGAAAGCCCCCGGCUCAACUGGGGAGGGUCACGCGAUACUGAUCGACUCGAAGGCAGGAGAGGGAAGUGGAAUUCCCGGUGUAGUGGUGAAAUGCGUAGAUAUCGGGAGGAACACCAGUGGCGAAGGCGGGUCUCUGGGCAAUAACUGACGCUGAGG